GGAAAUUUCUUAUGAAGAUGAUGUGGUCGAUCUACCUCCUGCUCCUGAUGUGAGCAGCUACAUGAUGUCAGAGGAAGCUGGUUUUGUACCCAAUGAGACUGUGAAUGCUCCAAUUUGUGAAGGAAUGAAUGGUGUUGAAGUGGAAAGGAGAUUGAAUCAACCGGAUGAUAAGCAUGUAAUAGACAUGGCCAAUAAUCCUACCACAAGCCAACCGGAUGUAAGAGCAGAUACUUCUCAAUUGCCGCCACCUCUAAAUCUGAAUGUCAUUGGACCAAAAUCUUCAAGAACUUUACUGCCUUCUCAAAAGCCUGGUUUGCUUGGGGCCCCUGUCAGACGAGAUCUCUCUUCUGAUCAUGACAUGAAGAGAGGACUCCUUGCUACGAAACCUGGCAUAGAUCUCAG
rnacentral:misc_RNA from 1 species